rnacentral:rRNA from 1 species
GACGAACGCUGGCGGCGUGCUUAACACAUGCAAGUCGAACGGAAAGGCCCUGCUUUCGUGGGAUGCUCGAGUGGCGAACGGGUGUGUAACACGUGAGUAACCUGCCCUAGACUUUGGGAUAACUUCAGGAAACUGGGGCUUAUACCGGAUAGGAGCUCCUGCUGCAUGGUGGGGGUUGGAAAGUUUCGGCGGUUGGGGAUGGACUCGCGGCUUAUCGGCUUGUUGGUGGGGUAGUGGCUUACCAAGGCUUUGACGGGUAGCCGGCCUGGGGGGGUGACCGGCACAAUUGGGACUGGGAAACGGCCCGGACUCCUAGGGGGGGCAGCGGUGGGGAAUAUUGCACAAUGGCGGGAAGCCGGAGGAGGGAACGCGGGGGGCGGGAUAACGGCCUUCGGUUGGUAAACCGCUUCGGUCUGUGACAAAGCGUGAGUGACGGUAACGAGUAAAGAAGCACCGGCUAACUACGUG